GCCAGACUCCUACGGGAGGCAGCAGUGAGGAAUAUUGGUCAAUGGACGAGAGUCUGAACCAGCCAAGUAGCGUGAAGGAUGACUGCCCUAUGGGUUGUAAACUUCUUUUAUAAAGGAAUAAAACGAGGCACGUGUGCCUUUUUGCAUGUACUUUAUGAAUAAGGAUCGGCUAACUCCGUGCCAGCAGCCGCGGUAAUACGGAGGAUCCGAGCGUUAUCCGGAUUUAUUGGGUUUAAAGGGAGCGUAGGCGGGUUGUUAAGUCAGUUGUGAAAGUUUGCGGCUCAACCGUAAAAUUGCAGUUGAUACUGGCAUCCUUGAGUACAGUAGAGGUAGGCGGAAUUCGUGGUGUAGCGGUGAAAUGCUUAGAUAUCACGAAGAACUCCGAUUGCGAAGGCAGCAUACCGGCGCCCUACUGACGCUGAGGCACGAAAGCGUGGGUAUCGAACAGGAUUAGAUACCCCUGUAA
rnacentral:rRNA from 1 species